AUGAACGCUGGCGGCGUGCCUAAUACAUGCAAGUCGAGCGAACAGACGAGGAGCUUGCUCCUCUAACGUUAGCGGCGGACGGGUGAGUAACACGUGGAUAACCUACCUAUAAGACUGGGAUAACUUCGGGAAACCGGAGCUAAUACCGGAUAAUAUAUUGAACCGCAUGGUUCAAUAGUGAAAGACGGUUUUGCUGUCACUUAUAGAUGGAUCCGCGCCGCAUUAGCUAGUUGGUAAGGUAACAGCUUACCAAGGCAACGAUGCGUAGCCG
rnacentral:rRNA from 1 species